rnacentral:rRNA from 1 species
UGCCAGCANHMGCGGUUAUACAAUUAUCUAAAGUUUAGUACAUAGGUUUGUGGAAUAAUAAGAAAAUUAAAGGGGAAAAAAGAUGUUCGACCAAUCAAAUGGAAAAACAAUUUAAGAAACUUUGAACCCUAAAACAUCAAAACCACGAAACUCGAAUAUAGGACUAGGAUUAGAUACCCUAUUACUACCGAAUGUAAAUCGUCAUAAACCAAGUUAUUACAAGAAUGAGCUAAAAAACUAAAGAGCAUGGCGGCCUUCCAAACCCUCAGGGGAGCUUGCCCUCUAAACGAUAUUCCUCGAUAAAAUUCACCUUUCUUUGAAACACGCAGCCUGUAUACCUCCGUCGUCAGUUAACCUUAAAAAAGAAAAAUAGUUAACAACACCCAUAGAUAAAAGGUUCUUUGGAUAAAGACAGGUCAAGGUGCAGCCUAUAGAAAGGAUAAAGGUUAGCUACAUUAAUUAAUAAUUUAAAACAAAUUUCUUCUUUAGAAGUCUUUGAAACAGUAC